rnacentral:rRNA from 1 species
AUUGAACGCUGGCGGCAUGCUUUACACAUGCAAGUCGAACGGCAGCGGGGAGGAGCUUGCUUCUCUGCCGGCGAGUGGCGAACGGGUGAGUAAUACAUCGGAACGUGUCGAGAAGAGGGGGAUAACCACCCGAAAGGGUGGCUAAUACUGCAUAAAUUCUGAGGAAGAAAGCUGGGGACCUGGGAAUAGGCCUAGCGCUUUUUGAGCGGCCGAUGUCGGAUUAGCUAGUUGGUGAGGUAAAGGCUCACCAAGGCGAAGAUCUGUAGCGGGUCUGAGAGGAUGAUCCGCCACACUGGGACUGAGACACGGCCCAGACUCCUACGGGAGGCAGCAGUGGGGAAUUUUGGACAAUGGGGGCAACCCUGAUCCAGCCAUGCCGCGUGUAUGAAGAAGGCCUUAGGGUUGUAAAGUACUUUUGUUAGGGAAGAAAAGUCAGCUGUGAAUAAUGGCUGAUACUGACGGUACCUAAAGAAUAAGCACCGGCUAACUACGUG